AUUGAACGCUGGCGGCAGGCCUAACACAUGCAAGUCGAGCGGAUGAAGGGAGCUUGCUACUGGAUUCAGCGGCGGACGGGUGAGUAAUGCCUAGGAAUCUGCCUGGUAGUGGGGGAUAACGUCCGGAAACGGGCGCUAAUACCGCAUACGUCCUGAGGGAGAAAGUGGGGGAUCUUCGGACCUCACGCUAUCAGAUGAGCCUAGGUCGGAUUAGCUAGUUGGUGGGGUAAAGGCCUACCAAGGCGACGAUCCGUAACUGGCCUGAGAGGAUGAUCAGUCACACUGGAACUGAGACACGGUCCAGACUCCUACGGGAGGCAGCAGUGGGGAAUAUUGGACAAUGGGCGAAAGCCUGAUCCAGCCAUGCCGCGUGUGUGAAGAAGGUCUUCGGAUUGUAAAGCACUUUAAGUUGGGAGGAAGGGCAGUAAGUUAAUACCUUGCUGUUUUGACGUUACCAACAGAAUAAGCACCGGCUAACUUCGUG
rnacentral:rRNA from 1 species